UGUUCCACGAUCUCGAAAGAAAAUUUGUGCGAACGAAGGCUACUCACUCACUUUCGUAUAAGAAUGCGUUCCACUAACUUUCGUUCUUUCUUUCGCAUAGCCUUACGUGAUUCAGUGUUGCUAAAUAUUUUUUUGGAAAAAUUAAUCGCGAAAUAAAGCAAAAAAAGCGUCAAAUGUAUAACAGCCAGUUCCACGAUAUCGAAAUAACACGUUCGCACAAUUUUUACACGACAAACAGCUGAUUUCCGUUCCACUAAAAUCUAUCUGAACGAAAAUUUGCACGAAAAUCAAAGCGAACGAAAACGUAAGCAUUUCAGUGUAAUUUUGCGUUCCACUAUCUUUUUUCUUUCGUACGCAUGCGAACACAAAUGUCAAAAUCAGUCACUUGUGUGUUUGCUAUCGUAUAAUAACAAUUAAGGAAAAUUGUUUUAACAUAAACAUUGCUUGAUUGAAAAUGGAAACAAAAAUCACGAAAAAAUCAUCAACUACACAGCUGCGGGCACUAGUUGAGUAAAUGGAGGAGAAUCCUGUGUUCGCCAGAGGAAUGCCAAUUUUUGGAAGCAGCAGAAGAAGUUUUAAAUCGGGGCGGAUUUGGGUAGUUCUGCAACCGGGCACCCACUUCUCUUCCAUCAUAUCCAAAAGAGCCCGAAAACUUCCUUCGACACACGAAAGAUGGCCACAAACCUAGAAAAAAUCAUUUUUUAUUAUUUCAAAAAUGUAAAAAUACAAUCAUACUUACUGGUUGUUAGGUACUUCAAAUAAAUUCGAAGCAUCUCUUAAA